AUCCAUCUGAUGAGUCCCAAAUAGGAUGAAAUGCUCAUCCUGGUU
rnacentral:hammerhead_ribozyme from 1 species